UACGUAGGGUGCAAGCGUUAAUCGGAAUUACUGGGCGUAAAGCGUGCGCAGGCGGUUCGUUAUGUCCGAUGUGAAAGCCCCGAGCUUAACUUGGGAAUGGCAUUGGAAACUGGCGGGCUGGAGUGCGGCAGAGGGGGGUGGAAUUCCACGUGUAGCAGUGAAAUGCGUAGAUAUGCGGAGGAACACCGAUGGCGAAGGCAAUCCCCUGGGCCUGCACUGACGCUCAUGCACGAAAGCGUGGGGAGCAAACAGG
rnacentral:rRNA from 1 species